UGCUCUCUUUUACGAAUAUCCUUAAAUCCUGACGAAUCGCAUUUUUAGGGAGAGUAUAACCGGGUUAAUUAAAAUUAUUGAGCGUAAUGCUCUUCAGAGCCGUGCAGCAGGGGCGACGGGGGCAGACUUUUGUGCUGAUGUCGGAGUGAAGGCUGCAGAGCGUUUUUCGGUGAUGCUGCCGCCGGGUCCGUUCUUCAAGUUCGUUUCCAAGGAGGAGAGACGCCUCGCGCCAGGACUCCGCCCCCUUCUCCUGAAUGCGCGAGCAGCUGCUUUCAAACCCAACUGCUCAAUUCCAUUCAUCCUCGAGAGGGAACAAAAAAGUGGCUAUUUAUUAGAAUACUUGUUUUGUAUUGUUCCGCGUCACACAAAAGGGGCUUUAUUAUUGUGUAGUGAGUGGUGGGACUGGGAGCUGGGUAUGACUGGCCUUGGCACACUAAGUGUAGAUUUUAGCAAGGAUGGCGGUCUGGCGAGUGGCUUUGGCUGGUUUAGGACAGCGAUAGAACCGGUAAGGCGGAUUUUACAUCACUGCAGAUGAAGGACAGUGCAACAGAGGUCUGUGUAAGGAUGAUUGUGAGAGACUCUGCUGGAAUUUGGCAGGCCCGCUGCUUGGAGAGGCGCCCCACGCUGUGACUCCCAUUCAGCGGUCCAGCGCGCUGUGAGGUUGGGAAGUUUCACUGAGCCGUGCACUCAAUGGCUCCACAAAGCUGAUUACAAGCCCCAGCGAAUUCCUGAAGAGACCGGGCAGCCACGCAGGUGUGCGGGAAACCGGGGCAACCCUUCAGAGUUAUAGUGACAGAGCAACACAACCCGGGAGACCACACAAAAAGCAAAGCGUCCCGGGAAGCGGCCAGAGAUUUGGUGGGAAAAGAACACCUUAAAUGCCCUCUGCCUUGUGAGCGAAAAGGGAAGGGAGGAGAAACUUUCCGAAGGCCUAUUAAACCGAUGCCCAGUCUCCUCAAAACUAAAAUGCUUGUAGGUACUUUUAGCACACAUUUCUGUCUUAAUUUUUGCCAAAUGCAUUCUGAAUCCAGUCUAGUUUCUCGCGUAAGAUAGGGGUUCGGGGUUAACGACGAUUCAUAAAACGUAAAGGCCUGCUCUCCUUCACCGUGCCCAAUUCAUUUUCCCUGGUGCGAAAAAUCUACAUCAAUGAAGCAGACAGCGUAUUUAAUUAGAGCGGAGUCUAACUAUCAAUUACUCAAGAAAAACACAGGAUCCCCAAGGACCGGUAAUCAGCGCACCAACAGUCGGCCGCGCGCUCAUUACAGCAAAGCAACAGGCUGGAAUAAUAAUCAGGGCGCGGCAACGCAGUACAGUAUUUCCCACUGCUUCCUGUUGCCUCAGAAGUUUAAUAACUCGUAGUUUUUGCUCAGUUUAACCCAGUGGUAGCUCACUUGUAGGCGAUAUGAGACUUUUUAAUGGCCUUGCUUACUGAAUUAAAUUAUACCCACUGUCAUUUCUCUUUUAGACUAGGCUAUAUGCUUGUUCACUUUACAUAAAAUUAUCUAAUUAAAAACAGUUAGUAAUAAUUUCAGAAUUUGUAACAUUGAAGUUUACUUGGUGGUCAUUUUUGUCAUAGCAUUUUCAGUUUCCUGCCGCCUUUGCAUUGGCCUGAUUGGAACGAGUAGUUUUGAAAUUGUGUUCUGCUAAGUUUUCAAACAAUAUGAAAGAUGUGGAGGCUUGUUUGUGUUUAUAGCUCUGUUGGGAAUUAAGAAGAGAUUGUCAUGUUGAAGUUUUAGCACUGCGGUGAAGAGCGAGCUUGAAUUUAUUGCCAUAUGCUAAGAUGUACUCAGUUCAGAGAGUGUUUGUCUUUCUUCCUGUCAACAUCACAUACAACUACAUUUAUCAUUUGUGUGGUUGUUAGCUAGUAGUUAGUAGAAAGAGAUUUAUUGGAGUUUUCCUGAUUUUAAUUAAGUGCUCGACUUGAUUUUACAAGAUAAUGUUAUAUUAAUACCACUGUCCACAAUCAAAGUUUAUCCAAAUAAUUAUGUAUUAAAUAUGAAAUAUUUUAAAUGUAGCCUCAAAAUAACAUGCACUUAUGGACAGUUUAGUGUCAAUAUUUCCUCAGUUUAAGUGAGGGAUCAGUCUUACUUUAUACGGCUAAUUUAAUCCUCCGCAAAGUCAACAAGGGCUAAUUGAGAUCAGUGGGGCGCUAACACCCAUUCACAAUCAGUUUCUCCCGUGCCCUGGAUUGUCCCGUUAAGCCGUUUUGCGUGGGUUUUGGGACUCGGAAGUAACCAUAUUGCGGCAAUCUAUAGAUGUUGGCUUUGAUUUCUGAAUUAUACAAAUGGCAAAUGUUUCUGAGAUUUAGGCAUGUUUCAGUUCCCAUGCUUAGCCUUAUAAAUGUAGGCUACUAUAAAUCUAUUCCGUUCUUGGCCUCACCUGUGUCCUGUCACCCCUGCUGUCCUCAUGUGAUUAGAGGACAAAAGCACUUACCCGACCCGGCUAUGGUAGUCAAUCAGCCACAACGGACUAUGCUAAUUGAGGGGAAAGGCGAGAGGAAGACUAACAGUGAUCCCAAUUGUUCAACGAAUUUCACAGCUCAGCGCAGCUGCAAUGCUACUAUUCUCUCCCAAUACACUCUUCCUUUAUUUCUGACGCAACGCUACUGUAAGCCGAAGUCUGUGCGAAACGGAAGGGAAUUUGGAAUACUCACGAUUUUUCCAUAAAAGUUAUUAUUUUAUAUCAGAAACCAUAGUUUUGUGGCAUAGCAUACAACUGAAGAGAUAAAUGAGACGCGCUUUGAAGUUUCUGAGGAGCUGUCCAGGUCCUGAAAUGAACGCGAUUCAAACACAUAUCCGCAUACGUUCUCUAUAGCACAAGAGACAAAUCUUUUAAUAAAUGUGAGUUCAUAAAUUUAUGAGUAGCCUACUUACUAGUAAUACAUUUUCUAAUGUGCGCUAUGCAUUUGUGCCUCGCCUCUGCCUACGACUCUCGUGCGAGUUGUUUUAAAUUAAAAUUGAUGGUCAAAGUUAGUGCUUCAGGUUUUUGGACAAAUCCAAUAAAGAAUAUGAAUAUGUUAGUCCUGCCAGUUAUAGCGAAUGAAGAUUUGAACACAAAUUAAUAAGCAUAUCACUUGGAGCAUAAUAGGUAUUCUAUCACAAAGACAUCUUUUAAUUCGUUUAUGCAGACAUAAUGAUUUUAGUUAUUUGAAAAAUCUAUUUACUGUGUCAUUUUACAACCCUACUUGGUGCUGAUUAGCAUUUGUUUUUGUUUGUCUUUCUCCCAUUUUUCAGUCUGAGAUCAAAUAUGCACCUAGAAAACAACUUGUAAAUAUACAAAAAGAAUGACAAAUUUAACUGUAAAUUAUUUUUUUCUCGCAUCUAGUUUGACCCAUCUUACAAGGUGCCCUUCCUCUCAGCAGGGGUCAGAAAAUAGGCCUGAGAAUUGUUUGUGUUUUACCGCUGCUGGAGUCCCACUGUGCUUCUGUAUUUUGUGAUGGGAUAAACUUU